GCUCCGGUGGCCAAGUUGGAUUAAGGCAUGUGGCUUAUGUGUCUCAGGUAAAGCCGCCUGGAGAUCGUGAUUUUAUUCGCAGAAAAGUGACUUUUCUAUCCUAACCGCGAGAUCGUGGGUUCGAGUCCCACCCGGAGCA
rnacentral:tRNA from 1 species